UCCUCUGUGACUUUGGACACACCAAGCUUUUCUUCCUCUGUGGAGAGCAUAGUAAUGCCUUGAAGACAGGGGCCCUAUAAAAUGUCUGUGAGAUUCUGUAUGUGAGCUUGCUCUUAUUUCAGGCGUUUAAUGAGAGGAGAAGGAUUUCUUCCAGAUCUUGGAGCAGUCAGAAAGAGUCAAGUGUCUUGAGUCCCACAGCUACUUAGUCAGAGGUGUUAUAUGUAUUAUACUCUUUAAGGAAAUCUGUCGGAGUAAGCUUUAGAGUCAGCUGUUAAACCUAUUAGAAUUGUUUUCCCAAACUCAUGAUUUUGGUGGCUAAUCCAUCAAAUAGGGCCCAGUAUAGUGUGAUGCACAUACAUGGUGCUCAACAAAUAUUUGUUGAUUUAAUGCUUGUUCAACAUUUAUAAUGUGCAAAAGUCUGUGCUAAAUGUUGAGGAACAUUUAAAAGACUUGCAUGAGUCGAUCUCUAUCUUCAGCCGGUGUAUGGAAAGUGCUAGGGAUUCAAAAGGACAGCCGAUCACUAAAUGUCAGUAUGGCAUCAUCAAGAAAGACUUGAAGCAGAUGUAAUUUUAACUGAACCUUGACUUAGCAAAUACGUGCUGUUUCAGUGGGAGGGAGAGAAGGAUCCAGGUAAGAAGCAUGGCAUGAAAAAGGUGUGUGGAGUCAGAAUGCGUCAAGAGUGUUUGUGCGGACUGUCAGGAGGCCAGCUUGGAGGUGGGGCCAAACUUUCAGCAGAGAAGAGGAAAAAGGUAGUGUGAGAGCUCUUUAUAAUUGCUGAUUGGUAAGAGACAGGAGCAAAGGUGAGAUUAAAGAUGGUACCUCAGAAGCUAAACAGCCGGUCUGGUGCUCUCAGAGUCUAAGCCACUGUCAGCCCAUCGGAAUGGAGAUGAGGCCAGUAGAGGUGCUCUCCUUGCGGAGUCCGCAGGACAAGCCUUUCACCUCCAAAUGCAAACCCAUUUUCUACCCCUUCUUACCUUACAGACUAGAAUGAGAAUCGGUGAUUACUUGUCUGUCAGAUAUUAGGAUCUUCUUAAGGGGCUGCAAAGAAAAUCCAAACUUGCCUCCUUGAGUUGCCUGCCUUCCUCUCUUAGGUGCUCUGUCGGCCUCCACACUUUUGUCAAAAUCCUUUCACUAUUUGGGGGGAAGUUGCCACUCAAAUUUAGGCAGACUUAUCACUUGGGCCUGGUGGUGGUGCAUCACGGUAUGGGACAGCUGUUUGCCCCCAAAACAAAAAAAUAAUUUCAGGUUUCCUAACCAUUCUUGGGGGGUGAGUAUACUUAAUCUCUGUAACUUCUUACAAGUCACCCCUUCUGGACCUGGUUGGUCGUCGUCAUCAAAAUACCACUACUACCUUCGCAAAAAAACAGACUGCUUACUGUGUGUCAAGAUCUGUUUUAAGCAUUAAACUCGUUUAACCUUCAUAGCGACCCUAGAAGAUGAGUAAAUUAUUUUCCAUCCUAUUUUAUAGAUAAAGAGACGGAGACACAGGAAGGUGAGGUCACUUGCCCAGAGUCUCACAGCUGGUAAUAGGCAGAGUGAGGUUUUGAACCCCAGCUGUCUGGCUCCAGGGCCCAUCCCCUGAUCUACUGCGCUGUUUCUCCUGUGAAGUGCAGGAGUGGACACUUCAAAUAAACGGAUGUAUCAGCAGUGCCUGUGCAGAGUCUGGCAAUAGUAGAUGCUCAAUAAGUGGUUGCUUUGAUGAGAUGAUCGCCCAGCUCUCGUGUGACUUAACGUUGUGUGCUUCAUUCUGUCUUUACUUUUCAGAGGUCAGCCUGUGGAGCGGUGGGGAAGGAGGGAUCACAGCUGAGCUGGAAGAUUGUUCUGGUCCAAGUCACAAACCGCCAAGUCACAGUCAUCCCUUUUAUUUUUAAACACACACAUACCUCCUCGGACUGUUGGCGGGUCGGGGUCAAUUUCUGUGUGUUCUGGUUUUGGAUCAAGCUAAUUUAGAGAAAGGACUGAGGUGGGGCUGGAGGCUGUGGUCAUAGGCACUGGAAAGGACUGAUUUCCAGCUCAGUUCAUGUCCCUCUUUCCUGGGGUCUCCGCCUUGCUCAGGCUGAACUUUCCUUGGCCUUUGGCAUUGUGGCCAGCUGGCCCGACACAGAGGAUGGCAUCCAACCAGCAGCUGUUCUGCCGGACCUAGAUGGCUCUCGAUAAGCCCUGCCCCGGCUCUGGCUCUCUGUUGUUUCUCUCCCACCGUUAAGGUGGUGGUGGCCUUGUGGGGCCUCAGGCCAGAGCAGGCAGCAACCCAAGGAUAGAGUAACAGAAGGCCCCGGGGGAGGGGCUUGUCCUUCCAGCCUGCUGGAGCUGCUGCCUCUCGCCCACCUUCCUGCUCUUGCCGAGACAGUGACUCAGGCCCAGACCACUCACCGGGGAGCCAGGAUUUCAGCCACUAUCAACCACCACCGCCUACUCUUUGCUCAGCCCUCCCUCCAUUCUCACCUCCCUUACCUCCCUCGCCCCCAAAACUGUGGGUCUCUUGCCCAGCUAGAGAUAGCAGAAAGAUAAGGGGUGGGGCAGACUGAAUCACUCCAGGGUUCUUUCCAUCCCCAAGCCAGGCCUAGGCUUAUCCAUGUUUAGUAGGAUUCUGGAGGCCAAGCAAAGACCCAGGAAGCAGGUUUAGGGUUCUGGGGUGACCAGGGGAUCCCUCCCCAACUGCCAUCUGGGCCUGCCUUUUAUCUCUGCCUCUGCAGAGGGAGUGAGGAAACAAAAGAUGGAGAAACCUAGCAAAUUGAAAAUGCAAAAGAGCUGUUUUUGUAAAUAGACAUUACACAAGAGCAGGGGCUUUUUUGGAAAGGUUUUACUGAGACAGACAGAAUUAGCCAACUGGCAUCAUGCUGCUAAUAGAGAUAUUUACUGUUUGAAAAAGUAUAUUUGUAGCUUUGGAGAACAUCCUGUUGACUUUUUCUUUAUUAUGAAAGAAAAUAGAAUCUUUCCCCCCUUUGCCCUCCGUACACACAGAACUUUUUUUCUUUUUUGCGGUGGGGCAGUUGGGGGUUGGAGAAGAGGAGGGUUGAAAGAAAUGUUUUCUCCAUUUUGUUGCUGAGACUAAAAUAUCUCUUCUCCUGCCCUCUGGUGCUCAUAUUUAUGGAAUGGGAAGCAGAACCAAUCAAGGACUCCUACUCCAGAGGCAGAGAGCGCAGAACCCUCUUAAUUUCUUCCAGAACUCAGAGACGCUCUGGGGAGCAAGCCUUGUCUUCACUCUGGCUCUCUGCCCACGCCCCUGAUUCCAAGGGGAGCACUGAGGCAAGUGUGAGGAGGAGGGAGGAGAGUCCCGAAGCCCAGUUGGGCCUCCUGCCCUGGAGCACUGCCAACCCCGGGCUGCUGUGACCUGGCAGUACCAAGGCUGCUGCUCUCAGGCUGUGACACUGUCGCUGUUGCCCCAUGCCCUCCAAAGCAGCUGCUUCUCCUAAGGAAGUCCCCUGUGCCUGCAGUGGGAGACCCACGGGGAUGAAAUGGGGACUCAAGGGAAGAAGAGGUACAAGAGCCUGCUGAAGUGCAGUUGUGUUGCCUUUCCUCUCACUCUCCCUUCCUUGCCACCUUUCACCACUUCCUGCAGGAAUACUCCAUUUCAUCGCAGGGAGAAUCUGAUCUUUACAUCAGGGCAUCUGCCCAGUUUUUUGCCGACUUCUCUGGCAGAGUGGGUUCACUUCUGCCAUUUGGCAGCCUCGGAAUAAACCCAGCAGCCUCUUCUCCUUUCAUAUAUCCUCUUGGGCUCUGUAAAGUAUUUUCCCUUGACCCAUCGUACUCCAAUAACUUCGUCAGGCUUUGCUUUCAAGGCCAAGGGCCCACUCCAUUUUCUUGGUCUCCACUGAAUGUACUGUUGCUGGACCCCAGCGCUGGUGGGUAUUCUUUUUAGGUUUUUGGGGUUUUUUGUUUGUGUUUUGUUUUGUUUUUUGGUUACACAAGGAUUGGGAGCCCAAAGACAAUGAUACUACCUUUCUUUGUUCUUUAUGUAGCAUUACCUAAGAGUAGCUUUCUUCAGGAACCUUAAGUCAGAGCAUGUUAUUUUACAGGCCCCUUGGGCAAUGCGCUUAUUUUAGUCAUUCAUUUAAUUAUUCAUCCGGUGCUUACUAUGUGCACAGAACUAGACUAUAAGCUGCAUGAGAUCAUAGAAGGAAUCUGCCUCGUUCAUCCUGAUAUCCCUAGAACCUAGCAUAGUAUUUGGAACAAAGGUGGCCCUUAACAAAUGUGUCCUCAUUCAGUGAAAAGUUGAAAAUAGCACUGUGCCUAGUACAGUACUUAACAGGGGUUGCCAAGAAGCAUGACAUUCAGUCCUUGCCCUUGAGGUGCUGUGUGUCAUAAUCAGAAAGCAGGACAUUCACACAUCAGAGUUAAUUAGCCUGUACCCUUUACCAAGCAGAGUUUACUUAAGUAAUGAAAGGAUGGCUCAAUAUUAGGAAAUAUGUUUACACCGUUCAACACAAUAAUAGGUUAUAGGAGAACAAACUGGUCAUCUAAAUGCAUGGUGAAAGGCAUUGGUGGAAUUCAAAAACCUAAUAUUUGUACCUUUUAGUGAACUAGGAACAGAAAGAUAUUUUCUUACUGUUAGGAACGUUCCUGGCUGAAAUCAAGAAUAGCUGCUUUCAUAUUUGAUAGUGAGGGAUCAGAUGUAAAGCAUUCUUACCAAAGUCGGAAACAUUUUCUAUAACUUCAAGCUAAUGCAAUAACAUAAGGCAAUAAAUAGGUGUAAAUGUUGGGGAAAAAGAUGAAUUUUAUCAUAUUUUCAUACCCUAAGACUGUCUACCUGGAAAGCCUAAUUAGUUAUUUUUCUUCUUUUCCAGUUGAAUUUCUUAGGCUAUAUAAAUGAAGUAUGUAGACAUGGUGACUGGUUUCAGAGUAAAUGUGCCAGGAAGAUAAAAUGAAACAGAGAAUCCCAUUUACAGUAUAACCAAAAAUAUAAAACUUCAUGGAAUGAACCUAAGACAUGUAUAGAGCUAAAACUUCACAUGUGUUAUUUUGGGAUCUUAAUAUUUAACGAAAUAAAUGUAGAGGAGAUGGAUAUGAAAAAAAAAAAAAAAACCCUUAAGACCAAGGGAGAUAAAAAGGCUUGAAUGAAUGAAAA
rnacentral:lncRNA from 1 species